rnacentral:rRNA from 1 species
UACGUAGGGGCAAGCGUUGUCCGGAUUUAUUGGGCGUAAAGAGCGUGUAGGCGGCAUGGCAAGUCGGGUGUGAAAGCCCUCAGCUCAACUGAGGAAGUGCGCCCGAAACUGCUUUGCUUGAGUGCUGGAGAGGGUCGCGGAAUUCCCCAAGUAGAGGUGAAAUUCGUAGAUAUGGGGAGGAACAUCGGUGGCGAAGGCGGCGACCUGGACAGUAACUGACGCUGAGACGCGAAAGCGUGGGUAGCAAACAGG